rnacentral:lncRNA from 1 species
CCUGGAUUUCUGGAGUUAUACUGCUCCGAGGGAUCUCAAAUUUGGAUAUGUUGUAGUUCACAAGCUGAGGAACAACUUCAAUGAAGAAAGUAUGCUGAUCUGAGCAAGAGAAAAUGGAGUUUCGAAGCUCACAACAAAUCUGACGGGUUGACAGAAAAAUAAUAACCAGUCAUUCAUCAUACCUGGAUUUCUGGAGUUAUACUGCUCCGAGGGAUCUCAAAUUUGGAUAUGUUGUAGUUUCACAAGCUGAGGAACAACUUCAAUGAAGAAAGCAUGCUGAUCUGAGCAAGAGAAAAUAGAGUUUCAAAGCUCACAACAACUCUGACGGGUUGACAGACAAAUGAUAAACAGUCACUCAUCAUACCUGGAUUUCUGGAGUUAUACUGCUCC